UCCAGAGGCAUACAGGAUCCAGGGAAAUAGAAUUGGCGCACUCCCAUUUCAUUGGCUGUCUCUCCGCUGUACACAGCCAUCCACCUUACGUUCUAGUCUAGACCGAUAGUGGUUUAACAGGCAGUUUUUUGUAGCUUACAAUCACAAAAGCAAAACGAUUGCAAAGUUAAAACAACAAAUGCCAGAAAUGUACCUCUGCUUUGAUAAACGGUCAUCUUCUCAAGAAAAACUAAAGCCACUGGACCAAGAACUAAUUAAAUGGAAAAAUAAAGCAGAGAUCCUUCAAGAUCGAGUGGAACAACUGGAGAAUGAUAAAAACAUUCUGGAGCAGCAAGUGGCUGAGAUGACUGCUGAAAAAGAGGUUUAUUAUAUAUAGUGACUGAUGCUGUGCAGCCUAAGGGAAAUGAAGAGAGACCCCAGCUGACACCCCAGCAAUCUUCUGACCCAGACUCCAGUUCCAGCUCCGAUUCUGAUUCAAAAAAGAAGAAA